UACGAAGGGGGCUAGCGUUGCUCGGAAUCACUGGGCGUAAAGGGUGCGUAGGCGGGUCUUUAAGACAGGGGUGAAAUCCUGGAGCUCAACUCCAGAACUGCCUUUGAUACUGAGGAUCUUGAGUUCGGGAGAGGUGAGUGGAACUGCGAGUGUAGAGGUGAAAUUCGUAGAUAUUCGCAAGAACACCAGUGGCGAAGGCGGCUCACUGGCCCGAUACUGACGCUGAGGUGCGAAAGCGUGGGGAGCAAACAGG
rnacentral:rRNA from 1 species